rnacentral:rRNA from 1 species
GACGAACUGUCCUAACGUUGUUCGGAAUCACUGGGCUUAAAGGGCGCGUAGGCGGGCAGGCAAGUCGAAGGUGAAAUCCCACGGCUCAACCGUGGAAGCGCCCCCGAUACUGCUUGUCUUGAGGGAGAUAGGGGCGUGCGGAACUUCCGGUGGAGCGGUGAAAUGCGUAGAUAUCGGAAGGAACACCGGUGGCGAAAGCGGCGCGCUGGAUCUCUUCUGACGCUGAGGCGCGAAAGCCAGGGGAGCAAACGGG